AAAGUCUAAUCUGCCCACUGAUGUAAUAUUAAAGGGCUGCAGUAUUUUGACUGUACAAAGGUAGCAUAAUCAUUAGUCUUUUAAUUGAUGACUGGUAUGAAAGAUUGGACGAAAUAUAUUCUGUCUCUAAUUAAUUGAUAAAAUUUAAUUUUUUAGUAAAAAAGCUAAAAUAAUUUUAAAAGACGAGAAGACCCUAUAGAGUUUAAUAAUUUAUUUAAUUAUUAUUAAUAUUUAAAUUUUAAAAUUAAAAUUAAUUAAAUUAUUUUGUUGGGGUGAUAGAAAAAUUAAAUUAACUUUUUUUAUAAUUAAUUUAACAUUAAUUUAUGAUUAUAUGAUCCAUUUUUAGUGAUUAAAAGAAAAAAUUACCUUAGGGAUAACAGCGUAAUUUUUUUUUUUAGUUCAAAUAGGAAGAAAAGUUUGCGACCUCGAUGUUGGAUUAAGAUAAAAUUUAAAUGCAAAAGUUUAAAAUUUUGAUCUGUUCGA
rnacentral:rRNA from 1 species